rnacentral:rRNA from 1 species
GCGUGGAAAGGAGUGGGCCGGCUUAGCCGGCUUAAGGUACAUGCUAUCCGCUGGGAAACCAGUCUUCUGCAGAGAGACCCGAUAAGUCGAACUGUAGGGGGGCCCCGAAGAGAUUCGGGGCUGGGAGGUCGGUUUAUACCGGUCCUAAAUGCUGCGAUGCCCUUAGAUGUUCUGGGCUGCACGCGCGCUACACUGACAGAGCCAGCGAGUACUUCCUUGACAGAGAUGUUCGGGUAAUCUUGUGAAACUCU